rnacentral:misc_RNA from 1 species
GAUGAAGAACGUAGCGAAAUGCGAUAAGUAGUGUGAAUUGCAGAAUUCAGUGAAUCAUCGAAUCUUUGAACGCACAUUGCGCCCCUUGGUAUUCCAUGGGGCAUGCCUGUUCGAGCGUCAUCUACACCCUCAAGCUCUGCUUGGUGUUGGGCGUCUGUCCCGCCCCCGCGCGUGGACUCGCCCCAAAUCCAUUGGCAGCGUUCCUUGCCCCCUCUCGCGCAGCACAUUGCGCUUCUCGAGGGCGGCUCCGGGACGCGAUCCAGCAAGAUGACCACCGUCUUUGACCUCGGAUCAGGUAGAGAUACCCGCUGAACUUAAGCAUAUCAAUAAGCGGGGA